CGGGGAUGGACAGAGAAGAAACACCCCAACUUCUCUCCCACUGCGGGCUCCUGGGUAGUUCUCACUGACUGAUCACAACAGAGCAUGGAGCACGAGGCAGCCCAGGUGAUGUGAUUGUUUGGGACCACAGCCCUCCCAGGUGCAGAGCAAGGCAGGGAAGGGAUUUGAGGGCAGAGCAAAUGGAGAUGAACUAACACACACAGCUUGCAAACAGCUUUGCCCCCAAAUCCAUCAGAACACGCUGGUGUCGCUGGUGUGAGAUAGACACUGCUCUUCUCUCCGUGCGGGAUCAAUCAUGGAGAAUGGAAUGGGAAGAAAGAGGACAGUCUAUGCUAAAGUGGUCUGGGGCCACAGUAUAAUGCACACAUCUUCUCCCACUUCUAAUCGGGUGGCAAAUUACUUAUCCCACUUAAUAAGAGAAAGGAAAGGACCGCUGACACCGUGCUGUCCCUGAAG
rnacentral:lncRNA from 1 species